rnacentral:rRNA from 1 species
UACGUAGGUGGCAAGCGUUGUCCGGAUUUAUUGGGCGUAAAGCGCUCGCAGGCGGUCUUUUAAGUCUGAUGUGAAAUCUUGCGGCUCAACCGCAAGCGGUCAUUGGAAACUGGAGGACUUGAGUACAGAAGAGGAGAGUGGAAUUCCACGUGUAGCGGUGAAAUGCGUAGAGAUGUGGAGGAACACCAGUGGCGAAGGCGACUCUCUGGUCUGUAACUGACGCUGAGGAGCGAAAGCGUGGGGAGCGAACAGG